rnacentral:rRNA from 1 species
ACGGGUGAGUAAUGCUUAGGAAUCUGCCUAUUAGUGGGGGACAACAUCUCGAAAGGGAUGCUAAUACCGCAUACGUCCUACGGGAGAAAGCAGGGGACCUUCGGGCCUUGCGCUAAUAGAUGAGCCUAAGUCGGAUUAGCUAGUUGGUGGGGUAAAGGCCUACCAAGGCGACGAUCUGUAGCGGGUCUGAGAGGAUGAUCCGCCACACUGGGACUGAGACACGGCCCAGACUCCUACGGGAGGCAGCAGUGGGGAAUAUUGGACAAUGGGGGGAACCCUGAUCCAGCCAUGCCGCGUGUGUGAAGAAGGCCUUUUGGUUGUAAAGCACUUUAAGCGAGGAGGAGGCUACCGAGAUUAAUACUCUUGGAUAGUGGACGUUACUCGCAGAAUAAGCACCGGCUAACUCUGUGCCAGCAGCCGCGGUAAUACAGAGGGUGCAAGCGUUAAUCGGAUUUACUGGGCGUAAAGCGCGCGUAGGUGGCCAAUUAAGUCAAAUGUGAAAUCCCCGAGCUUAACUUGGGAAUUGCAUUCGAUACUGGUUGGCUAGAGUAUGGGAGAGGAUGGUAGAAUUCCGGGUGUAGCGGUGA